GUGCUCCUUUUAGAAGCACAUAUAUUAAAUUGGAACUAUACAAAGGAGAUUAGCAUGGUCCCUGCCUGGGGAUGACACACAAAUUCAUGAAGGGAGCCUUCUUUUC
ensembl:snRNA U6 U6 spliceosomal RNA